UAUUUCUCACCUAUUUAAAACCCAUUACCUUCUUUGCCACAGCACUCACUCUCAAUACACUAUAAAUUCCAUAAUUUCUAAUCCUUGAAUCAUAAACCUUCAAACCUUCCAUUCUCAUUCUCAAGCACUUUCUCUUUCUUUGCAAUCACGAAAUGGCACCAAAAAGAAAAGUUGUGUAUGAUAUAUCUUCUGCAAAGAAGGAAAAGGAGUAGCUGCUUCAUCGAAACCGAAAGAAAUUGAGCAAGUGGAAGAGCUAUCUGAUAGCUCUUCAAGCAGUCCUCCAAUAACUCAAUUGUGAAGAAGGGCGAAACAUUUGGCACCUGUUAGAGGAAGGAGAAUAUUGAGGUCAAGCCAUGUAGCAUCAUCAAUUGGCAAAACUACACCCGUCCCUGCAUUCACCACUCAAUCAACUUCAGAAUCCACACCGUAAGAAUCAUCUUCUACUACUCUACCAACUCAGAGGCAAGAGGUUAGAAAGAAGGAGCUAGCACAACCAUCCGCUCAAUCGGACAAAAUUAGGUUCCAGACCAUUUAUGCAAGUAUGUUUCAUCUAUCUUAAAUUCUACAAUUUCUUGUGCAGGGUUGUCUACACUUAACAUAACCAAGAACUACACUAAAUGUAGAUGCCUCCACCCUAAAGACAGGACAACUCAUUGAAACAUUCAUAUCUUUGAAUUGAAUAAUGAUUUCCAAAUGAACAUAAAAUAAUUAACCAAAGGAAGUUAAUGAAACAUAUAUGAUGCAUGUAACAACAAAGGACAAGUUUUAGUAUCAUAAAAUCCAAGUAAAUAUCCAGGAAUUUUUGAAGCGGAGGCUAUAGUGCUUCAUUCUAUUAUUGGAAAAUCUGAUGAAAGCACUACAUACUGUAUAACAGAUGCUUAUUCAGAAUCCUGGCUCACUUCUCCAUCAUCAGAUAACUCAUCAAACGAUCUGAUGUCAAGCUGGUAGCGUAGGAUACCACCAAUACCACCAAAUCCUCUGCAAAACUGUGAUCCCUCUUGGGAUUUGUUGGUCACAAAUUCCAGUGAGCAUCCAAAUUUUUUGUACUCAUUCGCAAACCACUCAAGCAACGGCAUCUUCUCCUGAACUUCUAACUCUGCAGAGGUGACAGGAUCUCUGAAAUUGCUCUGAUUAGCCUCUUGCUCCUUGUUGAAGUGCUUUAUGAGAAUCUCACCAGUAGAACUAUCUUUUUGUACAUAUCUGUUAAUAUCCAAAUUUUCCCACACAAUGAGUAUUUCCACAGCACCCAUCUCCAGAGCCUUCAAUGUGUCAUCAACCCCAAACACGUAUUUCCCAGUAUCCUGGCUGAUUUCCUCGAAGUAUUUUCCUAUCAAUCGUUUUUCUUGAAUGAAUUUCACAUUAGAUAACAGUUCUGCAGAUAACUCAAUAGCUUGGUUAAAGCCAUUUUCUCCACCAUAGGAAACAUCAACCACAUUCAAUAUUUUGGCUUGCAAUCGAGGAUCAAACAUAUCUGACUGGCUAAGCUCUGUCUUGAAGUCAGCUGAACCAGCAAGUAUAAGUCCAGAAACAUUGGGUUGACUAGUAGCAGGAUUGAUGAAAAACUGAGUAGCAAGUUCUGCAGUCUUCCUGACAUAAUUGUGUCUCUUUUCCAUGCGAAGACGAGCAAAACGCAAAGCAGAUUGCCCUCCUCUACCGUGUUUCUUUGGUAGAUCAACAGUAAAUUUAUGAAGCACUUCACGUGUAUUUCCACUUAGAGUCCCAAAAAGGGUUCCAUUUCCAUCCAUAAUAAUAAAACCAAACUUGUCAUCAGAUUCUAAAAGUUCAUUAAGAGCUUCUGUGUGAAACUUGUUGUCACAGAGGUAAAGUGACGCAUUUAUAGGCUUGAAAGGUUCAAAAUCAAAUGUCACCUUUUUUUCCUUGCCAUCGUCUGUGACAAUGGUGCCAGUAUACAGGACCAAACCAUUGGGAGGAACCUUAUUAUACAGUUUCAACCUCUGUUGAGCAGAAGUAAUCGCAGCCAACACUGACUGCCGGUUCACCCUACUUUUGAUAUUUGAAGCAGUUCCAUAUUCAUCUCCCAACAUCUUAGUGACACGAGAAAUUUGAUCACGAGGAGGCAUAAUCAGAGAAAUCAUGCUUGUACCAUUUCCUCUUGCAGAUUCCAAUGCUUUGAUCAAUUUCUUGAUCUUCCAUA